GACGAACGCUGGCGGCGUGCCUAAUACAUGCAAGUAGAACGCUGAGGGAGGAGCUUGCUUCUCUGGAUGAGUUGCGAACGGGGGAGUAACACGUAGGGAACCUGCCUGGUAGAGGGGGAUAACUAUUGGAAACGAUGGCUAAUACCGCGUAAUAGAAGAUGUUGCAUAACAUUUACUUAAAAAAUGCAGUUGCAUCACUACCAGAUGGACCUUCGUUGUAUUAGUUAGUUGGUGAAGUAACGGCUCACCAAGGCGACGAUUCAUCGGCGAACUGAGAGGGGGAUCGGCCACACUGGGAACGAGACAACGCCCCGACCCCUUAGGGAGGCAGCAGUAGGGAAACCUCGGCAAUGGAGGGAAGUCUGACCGAGAAACGCCCCGUGAGUGAAGAAGGUUUUCGGAUUGUAAAGACCUGUUGUUAGAGAAGAACGAGUGUGAGAGGGGAAAGUGCACACUGUGACGGUAUCUUACCAGAAAGGCACGGCUAACUACGUG
rnacentral:rRNA from 1 species